rnacentral:rRNA from 1 species
ACUCCUACGGGAGGCAGCAGUGGGGGAAUCUUGGACAAUGGGGGCAACCCUGAUCCAGCCAUGCCGCGUGAGUGAUGAAGGCCUUAGGGUCGUAAAGCUCUUUCGCCUGUGAUGAUAAUGACAGUAGCAGGUAAAGAAACCCCGGCUAACUCCGUGCCAGCAGCCGCGGUAAUACGGAGGGGGUUAGCGUUGUUCGGAAUUACUGGGGCGUAAAGCGCGCGUAGGCGGACCAGAAAGUUGGGGGUGAAAUCCCGGGGGCUCAACCCCGGAACUGCCUCCAAAACUCCUGGUCUUGAGUUCGAGAGAGGUGAGUGGAAUUCCGAGUGUAGAGGUGAAAUUCGUAGAUAUUCGGAGGAACACCAGUGGCGAAGGCGGCUCACUGGCUCGAUACUGACGCUGAGGUGCGAAAGUGUGGGGAGCAAACAGGAUUAGAUACCCUGGUAGGAUAGCG